AGCGUACACGGUGGAUGCCCUGGCAGUCAGAGGCGAUGAAGGACGUGCUAAUCUGCGAUAAGCGUCGGUAAGGUGAUAUGAACCGUUAUAACCGGCGAUUUCCGAAUGGGGAAACCCAGUGUGAUUCGUCACACUAUCAUUAACUGAAUCCAUAGGUUAAUGAGGCGAACCGGGGGAACUGAAACAUCUAAGUACCCCGAGGAAAAGAAAUCAACCGAGAUUCCCCCAGUAGCGGCGAGCGAACGGGGAGCAGCCCAGAGCCUGAAUCAGUGUGUGUGUUAGUGGAAGCGUCUGGAAAGGCGUGCGAUACAGGGUGACAGCCCCGUACACAAAAAUGCACAUACUGUGAGCUCGAUGAGUAGGGCGGGACACGUGGUAUCCUGUCUGAAUAUGGGGGGACCAUCCUCCAAGGCUAAAUACUCCUGACUGACCGAUAGUGAACCAGUACCGUGAGGGAAAGGCGAAAAGAACCCCGGCGAGGGGAGUGAAAAAGAACCUGAAACCGUGUACGUACAAGCAGUGGGAGCACAGAGCAAUCUGUGUGACUGCGUACCUUUUGUAUAAUGGGUCAGCGACUUAUAUUCUGUAGCAAGGUUAACCGAAUAGGGGAGCCGAAGGGAAACCGAGUCUUAACUGGGCGUUAAGUUGCAGGGUAUAGACCCGAAACCCGGUGAUCUAGCCAUGGGCAGGUUGAAGGUUGGGUAACACUAACUGGAGGACCGAACCGACUAAUGUUGAAAAAUUAGCGGAUGACUUGUGGCUGGGGGUGAAAGGCCAAUCAAACCGGGAGAUAGCUGGUUCUCCCCGAAAGCUAUUUAGGUAGCGCCUCGUGAAUUCAUCUCCGGGGGUAGAGCACUGUUUCGGCAAGGGGGUCAUCCCGACUUACCAACCCGAUGCAAACUGCGAAUACCGGAGAAUGUUAUCACGGGAGACACACGGCGGGUGCUAACGUCCGUCGUGAAGAGGGAAACAACCCAGACCGCCAGCUAAGGUCCCAAAGUCAUGGUUAAGUGGGAAACGAUGUGGGAAGGCCCAGACAGCCAGGAUGUUGGCUUAGAAGCAGCCAUCAUUUAAAGAAAGCGUAAUAGCUCACUGGUCGAGUCGGCCUGCGCGGAAGAUGUAACGGGGCUAAACCAUGCACCGAAGCUGCGGCAGCGACACUAUGUGUUGUUGGGUAGGGGAGCGUUCUGUAAGCCUGUGAAGGUGUACUGUGAGGUAUGCUGGAGGUAUCAGAAGUGCGAAUGCUGACAUAAGUAACGAUAAAGCGGGUGAAAAGCCCGCUCGCCGGAAGACCAAGGGUUCCUGUCCAACGUUAAUCGGGGCAGGGUGAGUCGACCCCUAAGGCGAGGCCGAAAGGCGUAGUCGAUGGGAAACAGGUUAAUAUUCCUGUACUUGGUGUUACUGCGAAGGGGGGACGGAGAAGGCUAUGUUGGCCGGGCGACGGUUGUCCCGGUUUAAGCGUGUAGGCUGGUUUUCCAGGCAAAUCCGGAAAAUCAAGGCUGAGGCGUGAUGACGAGGCACUACGGUGCUGAAGCAACAAAUGCCCUGCUUCCAGGAAAAGCCUCUAAGCAUCAGGUAACAUCAAAUCGUACCCCAAACCGACACAGGUGGUCAGGUAGAGAAUACCAAGGCGCUUGAGAGAACUCGGGUGAAGGAACUAGGCAAAAUGGUGCCGUAACUUCGGGAGAAGGCACGCUGAUAUGUAGGUGAAGUCCCUCGCGGAUGGAGCUGAAAUCAGUCGAAGAUACCAGCUGGCUGCAACUGUUUAUUAAAAACACAGCACUGUGCAAACACGAAAGUGGACGUAUACGGUGUGACGCCUGCCCGGUGCCGGAAGGUUAAUUGAUGGGGUUAGCGCAAGCGAAGCUCUUGAUCGAAGCCCCGGUAAACGGCGGCCGUAACUAUAACGGUCCUAAGGUAGCGAAAUUCCUUGUCGGGUAAGUUCCGACCUGCACGAAUGGCGUAAUGAUGGCCAGGCUGUCUCCACCCGAGACUCAGUGAAAUUGAACUCGCUGUGAAGAUGCAGUGUACCCGCGGCAAGACGGAAAGACCCCGUGAACCUUUACUAUAGCUUGACACUGAACAUUGAGCCUUGAUGUGUAGGAUAGGUGGGAGGCUUUGAAGUGUGGACGCCAGUCUGCAUGGAGCCGACCUUGAAAUACCACCCUUUAAUGUUUGAUGUUCUAACGUUGACCCGUGAUCCGGGUUGCGGACAGUGUCUGGUGGGUAGUUUGACUGGGGCGGUCUCCUCCUAAAGAGUAACGGAGGAGCACGAAGGUUGGCUAAUCCUGGUCGGACAUCAGGAGGUUAGUGCAAUGGCAUAAGCCAGCUUGACUGCGAGCGUGACGGCGCGAGCAGGUGCGAAAGCAGGUCAUAGUGAUCCGGUGGUUCUGAAUGGAAGGGCCAUCGCUCAACGGAUAAAAGGUACUCCGGGGAUAACAGGCUGAUACCGCCCAAGAGUUCAUAUCGACGGCGGUGUUUGGCACCUCGAUGUCGGCUCAUCACAUCCUGGGGCUGAAGUAGGUCCCAAGGGUAUGGCUGUUCGCCAUUUAAAGUGGUACGCGAGCUGGGUUUAGAACGUCGUGAGACAGUUCGGUCCCUAUCUGCCGUGGGCGCUGGAGAACUGAGGGGGGCUGCUCCUAGUACGAGAGGACCGGAGUGGACGCAUCACUGGUGUUCGGGUUGUCAUGCCAAUGGCACUGCCCGGUAGCUAAAUGCGGAAGAGAUAAGUGCUGAAAGCAUCUAAGCACGAAACUUGCCCCGAGAUGAGUUCUCCCUGACUCCUUGA
rnacentral:rRNA from 1 species